AUGGCGUCCGUCAAGAAGACGACGGAAGGUCAAGCUAAUAAGAGUAAGCACAGAUUUGCACAAACAAAUGCCCACACAAGUCUUCAGGGAAGCGUCCCACACACACACGGAUCCCAAGCGUUUGCCCAGAUUACCUUGCCCAACGCAAUUUGCAAUUGCUCCCAAGCCCCAUUUUAUGCCAGUUACAAAUCCUCAUCACUGUCAGCUGUCCUCCUUAACCCGGGCGUUUCCUCAUCACUUUCCUCGUCAGAGCUGGAACACCUCUGACUACGCCCAGCAGCAUCUCCAGCUGUGGAUCCCGUCCCAUCCCUCCAGCUAAGCCAUGGGUCUAAUCCUGAAGGUCCCCAUUCAUCUUCUGCCCCAUCAUGGCCAGUGGCACCCAAUUCCUCCCUUACCCGAGUCCAAUCCAUCUCAUCCUCCUCUGAGCUAACCAGCCCCUCCUCCAUUCUCUCCGUAAACCCUUCGAAAGAUUCUUCGUCAGAUGGUGCUGCAAAUAUGUCUCGCAGUCUUUUUCUCUCUCGCUCCUCGAGAGUAUCUGACUCUCGAGGAGUCUUACGCCCACGUCUGUCAGUAACAGAGCCAUGAGGCUCAAUCAUAACAGAAAUACUGUAAUAAAUACAUAAAUAAAUAAAUAUUAUAUUAUAUUGUAUUAUAUUAUAACAUUGUUAUCAAUAUUAUAUGUAUACACAAUAUAUUAUAUUAUUCGGAUUGCACAGUAUUAGUAAAUUAAAGAACAAUACAAUAUUUAAAAAUAAAAACAAUUUUAACCAACAUACUGUGUAAAAUCAGGAUUUCAAUGGGAAGUGUGGGCCAAUGAGAUAGUCAAGCUAAGUAGGAUUGUUGUUGUUGUGUCUUCAAGUCAUUUCGGACUUUGGGUGAGCCUACGUCUAAAACUGAGGGCGGGGGCCAGGUCAAUGACCUUGGAAGGCCGCAUCCGGCCCCCGGGCCUUAGUUUGGGGACCCCUGCUCUACUGUAUGUCUAUGUAACUGAAUUUAUUUUAGAUAAAUAAGCUACAUACUUCAUUCCUGAUUUGCUAAUUUUUUCUUGAAGAAUAUUUUAAGACUCUGUAAGAUUCCUACUUGCAUUCCAAAAUGGUACAGUCUGUUCUACAUCCUAAAGACCUAUCAUCUUAUUAUAAUGAUUUUUGCUGAUAUAUAUAUAUAUAUAUAUCUGCUUACAAUUAUCCAUUCCAGGUGAUCUCAGUGGAAGAGAUGGGAAGUUUCUAAAAAUUCAAUCAAUCCAUAGUUAGCUGUUUAUAUCCAGUCCUGCAUCCUCAACAAUAUGCUCCUCCAAGAUUACAAACCAGGAUCAAACCUAGGUUAACUGCUCAGACCCUUGGUUGCUGGGUUAUUGGAUGAAAAUGGCAGGAUACGUGAUUCAGAUCAUCUGCAUGUAGCCAUUAGGAGAAAAACCCUACCUACCACGAAUACAAUGAUCAUAACAAUCGCUAUGUAGAUGCAUCUUUGGAAUAAAGCAGAUUUGUUCUGAAUGGAUGACUUCAGCUAUAAUGCAGAGAUGGAUGUUAAAAGACAACAGGAGGGAGGAGAAUCCAAAGACAGGAACAAACCAGUCCAGUCUGACUGAGCCAGCUGUGCCAAUAGAUAUCUUUCUGCAACAAAACAAGAAUAAGGAACACCCAUCUUUCAGCCUUACCUUGCUUUGAUAUAUUGAACCAUCUGCUGGCAGGAAUCUGUGAUAAGCUGUUGAGCAGUGGGUCCCUUUCUAUCCCCUCCUACACACACACACACACACACACACACACACAACAAAUGCAUCCAGCUAAUCACUGCUUCGUAUCACUCUAUAGGCUGGAUCAUGGCACUUGACAUGAUAUACAUCAAUUUUUUGCCCCAAGAGAACCCAAAACUCUAUGACAAAAAAGUUGAUUUCUAAGGGUUUUUAACUCAUUCCAAUGAAGUAAAUCAACAUGCCUCCUCUUAUUCAUCCAUUCAUUAACCACUGCUUAUUGGCUAUUCUGUGGUGUUCACUCUGCUAGAUUUAUUCUGAAUAAUAGUAUUUUCUUUGGUGAUUUUUCCACAUAUUUUGAUUCCCAAGUUUCAGCAUUUAUCCAGCUUGGGGGUGGAUCUCUUGGCACAAAAAGACAAAAGCACAUUUAGAUACGAGUUUUGUCAUUAGAAUAAAUCUAUAAUCAAUGGGAUAUUUUGUUUUCUUUAUCACUCACCU
ensembl:lncRNA